UACAUGUGGGGCAAGCGUUGUUCGGAAUUACUGGGCAUAAAGAGCUCGUAGGCGGCUUGGUAAGUCGGAUGUGAAACCUCCAGGCUCAACCUGGAGUCGCCAUCCGAUACUGCCAUGGCUAGAGUCCGGUAGGGGCCCACGGAAUUCCUGGUGUAGCGGUGAAAUGCGCAGAUAUCAGGAGGAACACCGAUGGCGAAGGCAGAUCUCUGGGCCGUAACUGACGCUGAGGAGCGAAAGCAUGGGGAGCGAACAGG
rnacentral:rRNA from 1 species